AUUAGAAUAGCUUAAGUAUUAAAGCAUAAUAUUGAAGAUAUUAAUAUAAGUGUAUACUUUUCUAAUA
rnacentral:tRNA from 1 species